GAUUAACGCUAGCGGCAGGCCUAAUACAUGCAAGUCGAGGGGCAGCACAGAGGAGCUUGCUCCUUGGGUGGCGAGUGGCGGACGGGUGAGGAACACAUCGGAAUCUACUCUGUCGUGGGGGAUAACGUAGGGAAACUUACGCUAAUACCGCAUACGACCUACGGGUGAAAGCAGGGGACCUUCGGGCCUUGCGCGAUUGAAUGAGCCGAUGUCGGAUUAGCUAGUUGGCGGGGUAAAGGCCCACCAAGGCGACGAUCCGUAGCUGGUCUGAGAGGAUGAUCAGCCACACUGGAACUGAGACACGGUCCAGACUCCUACGGGAGGCAGCAGUGGGGAAUAUUGGACAAUGGGCGCAAGCCUGAUCCAGCCAUACCGCGUGGGUGAAGAAGGCCUUCGGGUUGUAAAGCCCUUUUGUUGGGAAAGAAAUCCAGCUGGCUAAUACCCGGUUGGGGUGACGGUACCCAAAGAAUAAGCACCGGCUAACUUCGUGCCAGCCGCCGCGGUAAGAC
rnacentral:rRNA from 1 species